GCCGCCGCCGCCAGGUGUUAGCAAGGGAAGGCGAAAGGCUGGCUAACAUAAGAUGGAUGAAAAGACUUAGCCUAGGACGAGGUUGUGAUGAAAAGACUCGGGGGUAAAGUUAGUCAAAUGCAAAACUUUAUGGUCGUCUUUGAAAACACAAAGUCCCCUCGGAAAGACCAGAAAAACAAAAACCAAAAACAAACAAAAACAAAGCCAGGCAGGUGAUAGCGGAGCUGUCACCGCCGUGGAAAUUCACGUAGUCCAGCUGGACCACGGCGACCGGUUGAACUUGAGCCGGUUCUGGGUGAAUCGCAACGAGGUUACCUGCCGCCUGGCUACAACCGGGACACCCCCCCCCCCCAAGCUGAGCGUUUAAAAGGACCUGGCUGAGGGGUUGAACUUCCAAGUGGACAUUCGUCAAGUUUUCCCGAUGGAAAAUUUAAUCCCGAGGACGUUGCUACGGGCAGGUUGCCGGCGCACUCCCGAGUUACCUGUGACUACAAAGCGACUCGGUAGAGCAACAGUCAUCUCUAUCACCGAGAGCCAAACUGCGGCUCAUAAGACGAGCUGGUAACAGUCAGACUUCAGCCUUAUUGAGGAGGGCGCAUUCUACAGACGUCGGCCAUCCCCUGACUUUUCCUCCAGCGCCACCAGAGGGGCAUCGCCCCAGCACCCUUCAUGGACCCCGCACCCCGGAGUGUUGGUUGGAAUCAUCGUGAUUACUGCCGCGGCCAUCUGUCACACCGACAAACCCUUGUGAUUUCCAGGUGAGGGAGAAACUCCGUAGACAUUGCCGGCUCGCAUGACACGUGACAGUGCCCGCCGGCGCGGGCCUUCCUG